UUUCCGUAGGUGAACCUGCGGAAGGAUCAUUAUCGAGUUAGGGUCUCUGGCCCGACCUCCAACCCUGUGUCUACUAUACCAUGUUGCUUUGGCGGGCCCGCGUUCGUCGCCGCCGAGGGGUUGACCCCCCUGGGCCAGUGCCCGCCGAUAGCCCCCUCUUAAACUCUUGAUCAACCGUGAAUGUCUGAGUAAAAGAAAAAUCAAGCACAAAACUUUCAGCAACGGAUCUCUUGGUUCUG
rnacentral:misc_RNA from 1 species